CUCCAGCUUCCUAUUUUAAAUAAAGCACUCGGUCUCUUUUUUCCCAGUCGCAUAUUCGGUUCGCCUCUAUAAAUCUCGACUCUCUCCCCCGUUAAAUUCCUCUCGAAUUCUCUUUUCCCUUCUCGUCUUCUUCGUUCUCGAUCAUUAUAAGAAAGAAACCACGAAAGCCUCAACAUAAUGGGGUGAGUUGUAUGUCCGUCCGAUUUUUUCCGUCGCCCGUCCGGGUAUUUCGCCAAAACUGGAAGAAGACGAUCGGGAGUUGUAUGCCCGUCCGAUUUUUUGGGUCACCCGUCCGAGUAUUUCGCCAAAACCGGAAGAAGACGAUCCAUCGAGGAAGUCAAGCUCGUGAUCACGCGGGACACGAGCGCAGAGAAGCUCACUGCCCACGGGAGCCUCCUCCGCUAUGCCAAGCUCAUUGCCUCCUCCCUCAAGAACCUCAUCCAGGGUUUCCAGACCUGCGUGGUCGCUGCCUUCAUGACCAUUGUUAACCUGGUAGCUAAAGCCUUACGUAUCUCUGGUGGAGAUCACUCUGGUAAUGUAGUAGGUUUUCGGCCUGUAGCUUCUAGAGGUGUUCACGAGCAUAUGUCUACUGUGACCGUGAUUUUUGGAGAUGAUUCCGAACUAUAAUUUGGCGGAGGAACUUUAGGACACCCUUGGGAAAAUGCACCGGGUGCCGUUGGGGGCCUAUACUUGGGGGCGCUUCUGAAGCAAUUCGGCCUGGCAAUGGGGGACUACCUGGUGAUGGAGGAUGUUCCAGUUGUUGGGCAAUCAACGGAGGAGCAGUGAAAGUAGCUGGGAAGCAAUUAAGGAAGGGACUGUGCACUACGGUGACAGUCUUUUAUUUUUCUUUAGUUGGACCAAUUAAACUUGUUUACGCUAUUUUCCUUUAAUAUUGAAUUCCCAUGAUUAUCA